rnacentral:rRNA from 1 species
AUUGAACGCUGGCGGCAGGCCUAACACAUGCAAGUCGAGCGGAUGAAGGGAGCUUGCUCCUGGAUUCAGCGGCGGACGGGUGAGUAAUGCCUAGGAAUCUGCCUGGUAGUGGGGGAUAACGUCCGGAAACGGGCGCUAAUACCGCAUACGUCCUGAGGGAGAAAGUGGGGGAUCUUCGGACCUCACGCUAUCAGAUGAGCCUAGGUCGGAUUAGCUAGUUGGUGGGGUAAAGGCCUACCAAGGCGACGAUCCGUAACUGGUCUGAGAGGAUGAUCAGUCACACUGGAACUGAGACACGGUCCAGACUCCUACGGGAGGCAGCAGUGGGGAAUAUUGGACAAUGGGCGAAAGACUGAUCCAGCCAUGCCGCGUGUGUGAAGAAGGUCUUCGGAUUGUAAAGCACUUUAAGUUGGGAGGAAGGGCAGUAAGUUAAUAACUUGCUGUUUUGACGUUACCAAAAGAAUAAGCACCGGCUAACUUCGUG